rnacentral:rRNA from 1 species
UGCAGUCGAGCGGAGUGAUGGUGCUUGCACUAUCACUUAGCGGCGGACGGGUGAGUAAUGCUUAGGAAUCUGCCUAUUAGUGGGGGACAACAUUUCGAAAGGAAUGCUAAUACCGCAUACGUCCUACGGGAGAAAGCAGGGGAUCUUCGGACCUUGCGCUAAUAGAUGAGCCUAAGUCGGAUUAGCUAGUUGGUGGGGUAAAGGCCUACCAAGGCGACGAUCUGUAGCGGGUCUGAGAGGAUGAUCCGCCACACUGGGACUGAGACACGGCCCAGACUCCUACGGGAGGCAGCAGUGGGGAAUAUUGGACAAUGGGCGCAAGCCUGAUCCAGCCAUGCCGCGUGUGUGAAGAAGGCCUUAUGGUUGUAAAGCACUUUAAGCGAGGAGGAGGCUACUGAAGUUAAUACCUUCAGAUAGUGGACGUUACUCGCAGAAUAAGCACCGGCUAACUCUGUGCCAGCAGCCGCGGUAAUACAGAGGGUGCAAGCGUUAAUCGGAUUUACUGGGCGUAAAGCGCGCGUAGGCGGCUAAUUAAGUCAAAUGUGAAAUCCCCGAGCUUAACUUGGGAAUUGCAUUCGAUACUGGUUAGCUAGAGUGUGGGAGAGGAUGGUAGAAUUCCAGGUGUAGCGGUGAAAUGCGUAGAGAUCUGGAGGAAUACCGAUGGCGAAGGCAGCCAUCUGGCCUAACACUGACGCUGAGGUGCGAAAGCAUGGGGAGCAAACAGGAUUAGAUACCCUGGUAGUCCAUGCCGUAAACGAUGUCUACUAGCCGUUGGGGCCUUUGAGGCUUUAGUGGCGCAGCUAACGCGAUAAGUAGACCGCCUGGGGAGUACGGUCGCAAGACUAAAACUCAAAUGAAUUGACGGGGGCCCGCACAAGCGGUGGAGCAUGUGGUUUAAUUCGAUGCAACGCGAAGAACCUUACCUGGCCUUGACAUAGUAAGAACUUUCCAGAGAUGGAUUGGUGCCUUCGGGAACUUACAUACAGGUGCUGCAUGGCUGUCGUCAGCUCG